rnacentral:rRNA from 1 species
AGCAGCCGCGGUAAUUCCAGCUCCAAUAGCGUAUAUUAAAGUUGUUGCAGUUAAAAAGCUCGUAGUUGAAUUUCGGGAUCAAUAUAUCGGUCAUGCUUAGGUAUGUACUGGUAUUAUUGAUUUCUCCCUUCUGAAGAACCAUGAUGUCAUUAAUUUGGUGUCGUGGGGAAUCAGGACUGUUACUUUGAAAAAAUUAGAGUGUUUAAAGCAGGCAUACGCUUGAAUACAUUAGCAUGGAAUAAUGAAAUAGGACGUUUGAUUCUAUUUUGUUGGUUUCUAGGAUCGACGUAAUGAUUAAUAGGGAUAGUUGGGGGCAUUAGUAUUCAAUUGUCAGAGGUGAAAUUCUUGGAUUUAUUGAAGACUAACUACUGCGAAAGCAUUUGCCAAGGAUGUUUUCAUUAAUCAAGAACGAAAGUUAGGGGAUCGAAGACGAUCAGAUACCGUCGUAGUCUUAACCAUAAACUAUGCCGACUAGGGAUCGAAUGAUGUAAUUUUUAAUGACUCAUUC